CCUACGGGAGGCAGCAGUGGGGAAUCUUGCGCAAUGGGGGAAACCCUGACGCAGCGACGCCGCGUGGAGGAUGAAGGUCUUCGGGUUGUAAACUCCUUUUCUUGGGGAAAAUGAUGAUGGUACUCAAGGAAUAAGCCACGGCUAACUCUGUGCCAGCAGCCGCGGUAAGACAGAGGUGGCGAGCGUUGUUCGGAAUUACUGGGCUUAAAGGGCGAGUAGGCGGUAGAGCAAGUCUGAGGUGGAAUCCUAUGGCUUAACCAUAGAACUGCCUUAGAAACUGCUUUACUUGAGUCAGUGAGGGGAGGGCGGAAUUCCUGGUGUAGCGGUGAAAUGCGUAGAUAUCAGGAGGAACACCAGUGGCGAAGGCGGCCAUCUGGACGGUGACUGACGCUGAGACGCGAAAGCGUGGGGAGCAAACAGGAUUAGAUACCCUGGUAGUCCACGCCGUAAACGGUGAGUGCUAGACGUCGCGGGUAUUGACCCCCGCGGUGUCGAAGCUAACGCGUUAAGCACUCCGCCUGGGGAGUACGGCCGCAAGGCUAAAACUUAAAGGAAUUGACGG
rnacentral:rRNA from 1 species